UGUACGUCACAAACCAGCCCUCAUGGUCUAGUGGUUCCAGUUCCGUGCUCUCACCGCUUCGGCGGCCGGGUUCGAUUCCGGUCGUGGAACCACACCACCCGUCUGUCAGUAGCCGUGCUGUGGUGGCUCACGUAGAAGAACUAGUAGGACUUACAGCUAGGCUAUACGGCUGUGUACUGGGGCUUUGGGGAGAAAAGAAAAGAGAA